GACCACUCAAGGGAGGUCGGCAGCUCGGCAAGCUCCACAUCGUCAGGAAACCAUCGAUCUCACUUGGCCUUUGCUCCAGUCCUCCGUGGGCUGCAUCGAGGCUCCGAAAGACCUCUGAGGCACGGGAUGUUUUGAUCUGACUGCUGAUGGCAUUGACAGCUUUCUGCCACUUAUGGAAGGUUGGUCCCGUUAGAAUCGAUCGAUACCCACUACUCUGACCCCUCUGACGGCCACCUCUCCGACGGGCGGUGACCAAUCAGCUGACGGGCCUCUUCUCAUAAAGGGGGCCCAAAUCGACACUAUAGGAGGGCCUCUGAAUUAUCUUGAUUUCAAUUCGAACUCUCACUAUCCUCUUCCUCUUCUGUUCUUUCCUCUUCAAGAUUCUACUGACUUAGCCAUCGAAGGGUCCUCUGUUAGAGAACUCCUCACCUUCUUCUUCGACAUGUGAGAACUUUUUUUGCAGGUCUCGGAGGCCUUGGCUAGCACCCAAUCGCUCCAGCAUUGCAUGGAGAGUCAGAGUUAUCCCGCUACAUCGGUUGACCUUGAGGAGUAGCAACAGAUUGGCACUAAAGAAAGGGUAUGCCCUAUUUUCUGGGACAAAAUAAUGAGAGCCCG
rnacentral:lncRNA from 1 species